rnacentral:piRNA from 1 species
UGACCAAAACGUAGCUCAGGCCUGAUGCCAC